rnacentral:misc_RNA from 1 species
AUGCUAGGCUUAUGAAAUUUAUACUAUCAAGCAUUAGUUUGCCUAAUUUAUAGAUUUUUUUUUCCUAAAUUUGAACUAUUUUCAACAUCAUUUUUAGUAAAAUACACAAGUAAUUUGAUUUUUUUUAAUAGUAAUAAGGUUAGUUUUUUGCUAUCUACCUAGUUAUUUUAGUUUUCAAUUGAUUAAUGCUAAUGGUAUAUAAAAAUGAU